UUGAAGAGUUUGAUCAUGGCUCAGAUUGAACGCUGGCGGCAGGCCUAACACAUGCAAGUCGAACGGUAACAGGAAGCAGCUUGCUGCUUUGCUGACGAGUGGCGGACGGGUGAGUAAUGUCUGGGAAACUGCCUGAUGGAGGGGGAUAACUACUGGAAACGGUGGCUAAUACCGCAUAACGUCGCAAGACCAAAGAGGGGGACCUUCGGGCCUCUUGCCAUCAGAUGUGCCCAGAUGGGAUUAGCUGGUUGGUGAGGUAACGGCUCACCAAGGCGACGAUCCCUAGCUGGUCUGAGAGGAUGACCAGCCACACUGGAACUGAGACACGGUCCAGACUCCUACGGGAGGCAGCAGUGGGGAAUAUUGCACAAUGGGCGCAAGCCUGAUGCAGCCAUGCCGCGUGUAUGAAGAAGGCCUUCGGGUUGUAAAGUACUUUCAGCGGGGAGGAAGGUGUUGUGGUUAAUAACCGCAGCAAUUGACGUUACCCGCAGAAGAAGCACCGGCUAACUCCGUGCCAGCAGCCGCGGUAAUACGGAGGGUGCAAGCGUUAAUCGGAAUUACUGGGCGUAAAGCGCACGCAGGCGGUCUGUCAAGUCGGAUGUGAAAUCCCCGGGCUCAACCUGGGAACUGCAUUCGAAACUGGCAGGCUUGAGUCUUGUAGAGGGGGGUAGAAUUCCAGGUGUAGCGGUGAAAUGCGUAGAGAUCUGGAGGAAUACCGGUGGCGAAGGCGGCCCCCUGGACAAAGACUGACGCUCAGGUGCGAAAGCGUGGGGAGCAAACAGGAUUAGAUACCCUGGUAGUCCACGCCGUAAACGAUGUCUACUUGGAGGUUGUGCCCUUGAGGCGUGGCUUCCGGAGCUAACGCGUUAAGUAGACCGCCUGGGGAGUACGGCCGCAAGGUUAAAACUCAAAUGAAUUGACGGGGGCCCGCACAAGCGGUGGAGCAUGUGGUUUAAUUCGAUGCAACGCGAAGAACCUUACCUGGUCUUGACAUCCACAGAACUUUCCAGAGAUGGACUGGUGCCUUCGGGAACUGUGAGACAGGUGCUGCAUGGCUGUCGUCAGCUCGUGUUGUGAAAUGUUGGGUUAAGUCCCGCAACGAGCGCAACCCUUAUCCUUUGUUGCCAGCGGUUAGGCCGGGAACUCAAAGGAGACUGCCAGUGAUAAACUGGAGGAAGGUGGGGAUGACGUCAAGUCAUCAUGGCCCUUACGACCAGGGCUACACACGUGCUACAAUGGCGCAUACAAAGAGAAGCGACCUCGCGAGAGCAAGCGGACCUCAUAAAGUGCGUCGUAGUCCGGAUUGGAGUCUGCAACUCGACUCCAUGAAGUCGGAAUCGCUAGUAAUCGUGGAUCAGAAUGCCACGGUGAAUACGUUCCCGGGCCUUGUACACACCGCCCGUCACACCAUGGGAGUGGGUUGCAAAAGAAGUAGGUAGCUUAACCUUCGGGAGGGCGCUUACCACUUUGUGAUUCAUGACUGGGGUGAAGUCGUAACAAGGUAACCGUAGGGGAACCUGCGGUUGGAUCACCUCCUU
rnacentral:rRNA from 1 species